UACGUAGGGCGCAAGCGUUAUCCGGAAUUAUUGGGCGUAAAGAGCUCGUAGGCGGUUUGUCGCGUCUGCCGUGAAAGUCCGGGGCUCAACUCCGGAUCUGCGGUGGGUACGGGCAGACUAGAGUGAUGUAGGGGAGACUGGAAUUCCUGGUGUAGCGGUGAAAUGCGCUGAUAUCAGGAGGAACACCGAUGGCGAAGGCAGGUCUCUGGGCAUUAACUGACGCUGAGGAGCGAAAGCAUGGGGAGCGAACAGG
rnacentral:rRNA from 1 species